rnacentral:rRNA from 1 species
AACGGCGAGUGAAGCGGCAAGAGCUCAAAUUUGAAAUCUGGCCUCCCCCGGGGGCCCGAGUUGUAAUUUGCAGAGGAUGUUUCGGGUGCGGCCGCCGUCUAAGUUCCUUGGAACAGGACGUCAGAGAGGGUGAGAAUCCCGUCUUGGGCGGGCGGUCCGCGCCCGUGUGAAGCUCCUUCGACGAGUCGAGUUGUUUGGGAAUGCAGCUCUAAGCGGGUGGUAAAUUUCAUCUAAAGCUAAAUAUUGGCCGGAGACCGAUAGCGCACAAGUAGAGUGAUCGAAAGGUUAAAAGCACCUUGAAAAGGGAGUUAAACAGCACGUGAAAUUGUUGAAAGGGAAGCGCUUGCGGCCAGACUCGGGGGCGGGGUUCAGCGGGUGCUCGUCGCCCGUGUAUUCCUCGUUUCCCGGGCCAGCAUCAGUUUCGACGGCCGGUCAAAGGCCCCCGGAAUGUGUCGUCUCUCGGGACGUCUUAUAGCCGGGGGUGCAAUGCGGCCCGUCGGGACUGAGGAACGCGCUCCGGCUCGGAUGCUGGCGUAAUGGCCGUAAGCGGCCCGUCUUGAAACACGGACCAAGGAGUCUAACAUCCACGCGAGUGUUCGGGUGUCAAACCCGUGCGCGCAGUGAAAGCGAACGGAGGUGGGAGCCCUAGGGCGCACCAUCGACCGAUCCUGAAGUCUUCGGAUGGAUUUGAGUAGGAGCGUGGCCGUUGGGACCCGAAAGAUGGUGAACUAUGCCUGAAUAGGGUGAAGCCAGAGGAAAAUCUGGUGGAGGCUCGCAGCGGUUCUGACGUGCAAAUCGAUCGUCAAAUUU